GCCACUGUGGCUUAGUGGUAGAUCCCGGCCUCGAAAGGCGUAGGUCGAGGGUUCGAACCCCUCCAGUGGCUCCA
rnacentral:tRNA from 1 species